GUGACAUCAACAAAUUCUAGAACAGGUGUUGUAGCACCUGGCAACCAGCAGACUAUGAAGGCACCAGGAAGAGUGUAAACUUUCCAACUCCACUCAUCUCAGCAUCAUUCUCAUUCAAAAAAUUCUUUCUUAUGCUAAAGAGGUUGCUUUCCUGAGAAUCAGCUUGAGACUCUCUAAGCUGCGACCAGCCAGGAGAGACAAGCACCUUGAAGCUCCACGGCUGUCCAGGGCCACGUCCAUGGCACGGUGAAGUCCAGAGGCGUCUCGCAGCCUACCCCCACCCGACGCUCUCUAAUCUGCAACCAUCCAGGAGAGACAAGCACCUUGAUGCUCCCCGGCAGUCAUGGGCCACGUCCAAGGCACGGCAAAAUUUUUGAAGAAAUAUGGAAGUUCUAGAUAUGAAGCAAAAAUAUAAGAAGUAUUAAUUUAUUACUUUAAGUAAGAGUAUUUGAGUGGUACACUGAGG
rnacentral:lncRNA from 1 species